UACAGAGGUCUCAAGCGUUGUUCGGAUUCAUUGGGCGUAAAGGGUGUGUAGGUGGCGCGCUAAGUCGGGUGUGAAAUUUCGGAGCUUAACUCCGAAACUGCAUUCGAUACUGGCGUGCUUGAGGACUGGAGAGGAGACUGGAAUUCAUGGUGUAGCAGUGAAAUGCGUAGAGAUCAUGAGGAAGACCAGUGGCGAAAGGCGGGGUCUCUGGACAGUUCCUGACACUGAGACACGAAGGCCAGGGGAGCAAACGGGG
rnacentral:rRNA from 1 species